UACGUAGGGUGCAAGCGUUAAUCGGAAUUACUGGGCGUAAAGCGUGCGCAGGCGGUUGUGUAAGACAGAUGUGAAAUCCCCGGGCUCAACCUGGGAACUGCAUUUGUGACUGCACAGCUGGAGUGCGGCAGAGGGGGAUGGAAUUCCGCGUGUAGCAGUGAAAUGCGUAGAUAUGCGGGAGGAACACCGAUGGCGAAGGCAAUCCCCUGGGCCUGCACUGACGC
rnacentral:rRNA from 1 species